UACGUAGGUGGCAAGCGUUGUCCGGAUUUACUGGGCGUAAAGAGCGCGUAGGCGGUCGUUCAAGUCGGGUGUGAAAGCCCCCGGCUCAACUGGGGAGGGUCACGCGAUACUGAUCGACUCGAAGGCAGGAGAGGGAAGUGGAAUUCCCGGUGUAGUGGUGAAAUGCGUAGAUAUCGGGAGGAACACCAGUGGCGAAGGCGACUUCCUGGCCUGUUCUUGACGCUGAGGCGCGAAAGCUAGGGGAGCAAACGGG
rnacentral:rRNA from 1 species